rnacentral:rRNA from 1 species
GAUGAACGCUGGCGGCGUGCCUAAUACAUGCAAGUCGAGCGAACAGACGAGGAGCUUGCUCCUCUGACGUUAGCGGCGGACGGGUGAGUAACACGUGGAUAACCUACCUAUAAGACUGGGAUAACUUCGGGAAACCGGAGCUAAUACCGGAUAAUAUAUUGAACCGCAUGGUUCAAUAGUGAAAGACGGUUUUGCUGUCACUUAUAGAUGGAUCCGCGCCGCAUUAGCUAGUUGUUAAGGUAACGGCUUACCAAGGCAACGAUGCGUAGCCGACCUGAGAGGGGGGUAGGCGACCCUAGAACGUGGACACCGUCAAGACUACUACGAGACGGAGCAGUCUCGUAUCGUCCGCAGUAGGCGGGAAUAUUGCGGAACAACGGCGCGUGAGUUGUAGCAGUGCUGCGUGCGGGAAACUGUGUUUUGAGGGAAAAACAACUGUGGACGUAAAUGAGCCCGUAGUGACGGUACCUAAUCAAGAAGCCACGGCUAACUACGUG